rnacentral:rRNA from 1 species
UGGGCAACCUGCCCCGAUGACUGGGACAACCCGAGGAAACUCGGGCUAAUACCGGAUGUGCUCCCUCACAUCAGUGAGGUGAGUAAAGGAAGCUUCGGCCUCCGCAUUGGGAUGGGCCCGCGGCCCAUUAGCUUGUUGGUGGGGUAAUGGCCUACCAAGGCAACGAUGGGUAGCUGGUCUGAGAGGACGAUCAGCCACACUGGGACUGAGACACGGCCCAGACUCCGUAGGGAGG